AGGAUAACUGUGAAGGUAAGCGAAUCUGAACCACCUCAAAGUUUCUGACUCAAGCUCAGAAUUGAUGACUCUUUCUCAGUAUCCGAGACACCAGAUGUCAAUCCACUUCCAUGUAAGCACCUUCCUAUUAACUGCAAGCCAUUGGUUGUGACCACAGUGGACGCUGGAGUCCAGGCUGAACGCUGUCGAUGUGGAUGGAAAAAGGCACAACUGUGGCACUCCAAAUGGAAAGUCAAGAUUGAGAGCAAAGAAGCUGAAAGCUUGGUUGACCAGCAUCUGAGUGUUCACAGUUGUUGAGCUGAGGGAGAAAACUGUGAACCCAAUAAAAUGAGAGUUACUGAUGCUGUAAACCUGGAAUCAACCAACUGAUAUGUCUCCAUUUAAUGAAGAUUGACUGGGAUGUCAUUCCGAUCAAUGAGGGAUUUAUCUUUGAACCUGUGCCUUGAACUUGCUAAGCAAGCUACUAGUCUCACCAAAGCUAAUCAGAAUAUAAAAUGGAUGCCGCCUUCUUGCACAAAGUAACAUUUUUAUAAUUAAUGAAGCCCUUCCUUAUAACAGAACUUUCACCAGAAGAGUUUCUGCUUUUAUUUAAAGUCUGAGUUCUUUGGACGCUUGUGUUCUUACCAUGGGAGGAUAUGAAACUUGAGAGAAAUUAGUUUGCUUUCGGUCAAUGGAUGAUGUGGAAAUUGUUUUAAGAAAUAUAAAUGGAAGAAGAAUUUUGAAUAAGAAGGUGUUUACAACAUCUAAUUCCGUUUAAUAUUUUCAACAAUGAGCUGCGUUAAGUUUGAACAUUCAUGAAACAACACGAUCAGGAGGACGUCCUGUGGAAAGGCCAUCUCCAACGCUGUUUGCAUCAAAGCUGAAAGAAAUAGUGAAGCAGUUUCAUCGUUUCAACAUGGAAUCAAAUUUGAGUUUUGUAUGUCUCCCUGGUCCCUUUCCUCCACUAAUGCAGGAAGGAAAGGAGGUGUGAAUAUAUAUAGGAUUUGUUCAGUUUUUAAUUUAAUUUAAUUAAUGCCUUGUCCUGAACCUGCACGUAAAAUCCAGAAUGUUGUCAAUGGGUUUCACUGUUGUCCAGUUAAAGUUUUUAAGGUGUGACCAUACAGAACUCUUGUUUAUUGGUCAGCUCUGCUUCAGUAACCUGGUAUUUCAGAUUUUGAUGUGUUGUUUUUCUCUGAUUUGUCUGUGUGGGAGCAAGGCUGAAACCUGACCUUUGACUUGGUGAAAUGUAACUGAACACCUUCCACAGUCUUCCUCUUCCACCAGGACCAUGUAAUCUCUGCUUCUAGCUUGUUUGUGUUGGUUUGGUUAGGUUAUAGGCUUGGAUUGAUGUAACCAGAGGGAGCUCUCUUUCAGAAUCUUUUUAAAAUUUAAUAUGAAUUUGUUGUGAUUUGCAUAUGAAUUGCUCAGGUCCCUUAAACCAGUCUCAGCACCUGAAUUUUAUUGAAUUAAUGUAAAACACUUACAUAAAAUAUUUAUUAUACACAGCUUUCAUGUUUGGUGUUUGCGUUAAUAGCAAUCCUAACAAUGGUUAUUUGUUCACUUGUGUGCAAGGGCACUGUAUUGUUUCCCUAGAAGUUCACAACCUGUGCUAUCCAGUAUUAUAAAGAAUUGCCCACUGUUUGAAGGGACCCCAAUUCUGUUUCACAACUUGAGGGGAUGUUUUAUUCUAUUUAUAGAUCAACUUAUUGUUUGUACUCCUGUAUUAGGAGAAAAUAUGUUAGCUUAUGUACAGAAUAAAAUAUUUAAUUUUUUGUACAGAGGCUGAGUAUUUGAUCUACAUCAUUAACCAAUUGGCAUUUACAGUGCCUAUGCUCUUUGAAAAUUGUAGAUGUGCGUAACUUAGUUUUGCCUCCUUGUUCCUGCCAAUCUCCAUGAAUCUGAAAAUUAGUGCUUCCAAGAAUACAUGCAGUUGCCUUCUGACAGCUAGCUCCAUUGGAACCUGUUCCCAUCACACACUCAAGAUGUUCUAGAUGUUAACCCUUUGGAAAAAAUUAGAAUCAAAGAAUUUUUAAGUACAGUAGGAGACCAUUCAACCCAUCCUGUCCAUACCAGCUCCUGAAAGAAUUGCUCAGAUAGGGCUGGAGAAUGGGACUAUCUCCACAGCCCUCUAAAUUCAUCACAAGACCUCCUGCGGAAUCUUUCUCUCAAAAUCUCCCAGCCAGCACAUUUCAAGUCUUAACAACUGAGUAAAGACGUUUCUUUCUUCUCUCUCCUAGCUCUAUUACUGACUGUCUUGAAAUUGUUAUCCCUUUUAUUUGGCCAUCUAACUCUUUUGAAUCUGUCCUGUGAUCACCAUUUUGGGAAUCAUUUUCCCCUAUUUGCUCUUAAAACUCUUCUCAAUGUUGAACUUUCAUGAGGUCCCCAGUUCACCUUCUCUGAA